AAUAACCCUUUUCAUCUCAUCUUCUUACCUCACUCGGCCGCCGUCGCCACCGCUACCGUCAGCUGCACCGCCGUAGACCACCACAAUCAACUGCACCUUCGUAGAUCACUGCCACUGGCUGCACCGCCGGCGAAUGCUGCAAGAUCAAGCUUUUAAAGAUUAACAUUGAUGCCUAUAGGAAGAUUGCCAUUGGAAGCUUUGAAUGCAAGAUGAGCUACUACUACAACUCUUUAUGUUUCUCGUAGACUAGACUACUUUCAUAAAUGUGGAAUAUAAACAUUAUAUAUGCAAAAACGGGGCCGGUGAUAAACCGGACAACACAUUAGUACAAAAGACAUGAAAACUUUCAUGUUUGCUAAACGUGUUAGGAAAACAGCCACUCAUCUGUACAGAAAUCCUGCGAUUCAAGCUGCAAACGACCCCCUUCACCUUCAAGCUGCAAACGACCUCCCUACUGUUACAUGAAUUUCUAAUUUAUCGAACCUGAAAUUAUAUGAUAUUUUAAUGAUUAUUACUUGCUGUUGUUUAAAACAUGGAAAAUUGCUAGUUGUUUCUGAAUUUCU
rnacentral:lncRNA from 1 species